rnacentral:tRNA from 1 species
ACGCUACGGACUUAACUAUUAAGCAAAAAUCCGUUGGAUUUAUUAACCGUGAGGGUUCAAGUCCC